UACGUAGGGGGCUAGCGUUGUCCGGAUUUAUUGGGCGUAAAGAGCGUGUAGGCGGCCAGGUAGGUCUGGUGUGAAAACUCGAGGCUUAACCUCGAGAUGUCAUCGGAAACCAAUCUGGCUAGGAGUCCGGAAGAGGAGAGUGGAAUUCCUGGUGUAGCGGUGAAAUGCGCAGAUAUCAGGAAGAACACCAAUGGCGAAAGCAGCUCUCUGGGACGGUACUGACGCUGAGACGCGAAAGCGUGGGGAGCGAACAGGAUUAGAUACC
rnacentral:rRNA from 1 species